UCGCUGGGCCUUUUGUGCCGAGAGGAAAGUCCGGGCAGCACGAGCCACCAUGCUUCCUAACGGGAAGGGACCAUAAGGGUAACCGAAUGGCCACAGAAAGCGCCACAGAGACAAUACCGCCUUUCGAGAGAGGAAAGGUUAUUGGUUAUAGGUUAUUGGUUAUGGACGAUUGUUCAACACUGUGUGUAACAACCUCGCCCAAUCUCCAUAACCCAUAACCAGUAACCUGCCCCCCUCAGAAAGGUAAGGGUGAAAACGCGGGGUAAGAGCCCACGACGUGUUCCGGCGACGGGCACGAUGGCAAGCCUCAUGGGCUGAAAGACCAAAUAUACCGAUAGGCCGCAAGGCAGCGGGCAGGCUCGCCCGCAUUAUCGGGGGGUAGGUUGAUAGAGGCCGUCGGCGACGGCGGCAGUAGAUUGAUGAUAGAACACGACAGAACCCGGCUUAUAGGUCCU
rnacentral:RNase_P_RNA from 1 species